CCUACGGGAGGCAGCAGUGGGGAAUAUUGGGCAAUGGAGGAAACUCUGACCCAGCGACGCCGCGUGCGGGAUGAAGGCCUUCGGGUUGUAAACCGCUUUCAGUAGGGAAGAAGCGAAAGUGACGGUACCUACAGAAGAAGCACCGGCUAACUAUGUGCCAGCAGCCGCGGUAAUACAUAGGGUGCAAGCGUUGUCCGGAAUUAUUGGGCGUAAAGAGCUCGUAGGUGGUUUGAUACGUCGGGUGUGAAAUUCAGGGGCUCAACCCCUGACCUGCAUUCGAUACGGUCAAGCUAGAGUUUGGUAGGGGAGACUGGAAUUCCUGGUGUAGCAGUGGAAUGCGCAGAUAUCAGGAGGAACACCGAUGGCGAAGGCAGGUCUCUGGGCCAAUACUGACACUGAGGAGCGAAAGCGUGGGGAGCGAACAGGAUUAGAUACCCUGGUAGUCCACGCCGUAAACGGUGGGCGCUAGUUGUGCGAACCUUCCACGGUUUGUGCGACGCAGCUAACGCAUUAAGCGCCCCGCCUGGGGAGUACGAUCGCAAGAUUAAAACUCAAAGGAAUUGACGG
rnacentral:rRNA from 1 species